UUUGGAUCGCCUAAAAAUGCUCAAAAUGGCAUUCCAAGCACCGUUUAUGCUGAAACUGUUGGAACAAUUACCGCACAGAAAUCUGAUUGUGAUUUAAAUCUAACUAAAUUUUAUGAUGAAAAUAAAUAAAUCAACUUACAGAUUAUCGCUAAAUCCAAAUAAAUACUUUAUUGAUCCGGAAGCAUGCGAAGCACUGCCCUAAGGCGUAUUUCCGUCCUUACGUGCGGGAUUAACCGGAAACACCGCCCCAAAAUACGACCAGAAUUCCUCCUCCUACGAGCACGAAUGCGGAAGAGGUUGACGAAGUUUCUUUCAACACCUAGCGAUAAAGGAAUCAAGAAAAUAGAAAAUUGAAGGAAAAACUUAAAAAAAACUAUUUUCCACUUGUUGUU
rnacentral:lncRNA from 1 species